CAUUUAGUACGAACCUCGGAACAAAAGUCUCUGAUGAUUACUCUGGAAGGAUUGAGUUGCUUGAGAAAUUCUCUGUGAAAUUGAAGAAUCUACAAGAGGCAGACAGUGGAGUUUAUACUGUAGUAGUGUCUGGGAAUAAAGAAAAACAAAUAACUGGAUAUAAGAUCACAGUUCAAGAUCCAGUGUCUCCAGUUAAACUGUCAGUGGACUCUGUGUCUAACAGCUCAGACUGGUGUAACCUGACAGUGAGC